ensembl:lncRNA
GCCCUUCUGGCCUUUUUGUGAGGCCGGGCGGAAACAGCUAACAGCAUUUCCACAUUUCCCAGAAGCCUCUCUGCGAAGCACGGAAGUUUCCCGUGGUGCCGCCCCCGGUCCUGUUGAAGGUGGCAGAUGUGCCCUGGGAGGCCGAGACCCAGCGGACGAAGGAAAUCAACCGAGGGGCCGGGAGCUUCGGCGGAUGUGGCCGGUGGCUCAGGUGGUAAAGAAUCUGCCUGCAAAGCAGGAGACCCAGGUUCGAUCCCUGGGUCAAGAAGAUGCCUGGAGAAGGGAAUGGCUACGCCAGUAUUCUUGCCUGGAGAAGAAUUGUAGCCUGGCAGGCUGCAGUCCAAGGGGUCGCAAAGAGUGGGACACAAUUGAGCGACCAACACUUUCAGUUUCAUAGCAGAUUAACAAUGUUGUGAUAGUUUCAGAUGGACAGUAAAGGGACUCAGCCAUACAUAUACAUGUAUCCGUGCGUGCCUGCUAAGUCGCUUCAGUCGUGUCUGGUUCUUUGCGUCCCUAUGGACCAUAGCCCCACCCCCAGGUUCCUCUGUCCAAGGGAUUCUCAAUGGAUUGGGUUUCCAUGCCCUCUUCCAGGGGAUCAAACUGGUGUCUCUUACAUCUCCUGCACUGGCAGGUGGGUUCUUACCACUAGCACCACCUAGGAAGCCCCUAAGUGUAUCCAUUCUCCUCCAAACUUCCCUCCCGUCUAGGCUGCCACAUAACCUGGAGGAGAGUUCCCUGUGCUCCACAGUAGGUCUAUCGGUUUUAAAUACAGCAGUUGAACCCAUUUUCUGAGGCUCCCACUCACACUUGGAAACUAAUUCAUCUAACUGGCUUUUCUUUCUGGGUUAUUUCCUCCCUUACAGAGUGUUCUGCUUUCUGAACUGCAGCUGGAAAUAUGCUGGGGAAUUUUUUAAGAAGGAGUAUAUUACUUGUGAUUAGAGUUGAAAUCACGACAUAGUUAUCUUCCAUCUUUAUUUUUACCAUAAUGUUUUUAUGUGUCAACAGUUGAGAGGUCUUUCUGACCCAUUGAGAUUUGCUAGCCCUACUUUAGAACAGAAAACUCUUAAAAGAAUAAACAAAAGGUUGGUGGGACUAAGUAUGUCUGCAUGUAAGGAGUGGUGCUGGAGGCUCAAAUAUUGGUAUCUCUUGACCAAAGACUUCUCUGAAUAUGUUUUCCAAAAAUGAUUAUUAAUGGGAACUGAGGGUUACUUUUACUUUGCCACAUAGCCUCUUCUGAAUUGGUAGACCUGGAUUCCAGGUUCAACUCAGUCCCCACUAGCUGUGUAGCC